CGGGUGAGUAAUGUCUGGGAAACUGCCUGAUGGAGGGGGAUAACUACUGGAAACGAUAGCUAAUACCGCAUAACGUCGCAAGACCAAAGAGGGGGACCUUCGGGCCUCUUGCCAUCGGAUGUGCCCAGAUGGGAUUAGCUAGUAGGUGGGGUAACGGCUCACCUAGGCGACGAUCCCUAGCUGGUCUGAGAGGAUGACCAGCCACACUGGAACUGAGACACGGUCCAG
rnacentral:rRNA from 1 species